rnacentral:rRNA from 1 species
AUUGAACGCUGGCGGCAUGCUUUACACAUGCAAGUCGAACGGUAACAGGUUAAGCUGACGAGUGGCGAACGGGUGAGUAAUGCAUCGGAACGUGCCCGGUCGUGGGGGAUAACGCAGCGAAAGCUGCGCUAAUACCGCAUACGAUCUGAGGAUGAAAGCGGGGGAUCGCAAGACCUCGCGCGAUUGGAGCGGCCGAUAUCAGAUUAGGUAGUUGGUGGGGUAAAGGCUAACCAAGCCGACGAUCUGUAGCUGGUCUGAGAGGACGACCAGCCACACUGGGACUGAGAAACGGCCCAGACUCCUACGGGAGGCAGCAGUGGGGAAUUUUGGACAAUGGGCGAAAGCCUGAUCCAGCCAUGCCGCGUGCAGGAUGAAGGCCUUCGGGUUGUAAACUGCUUUUGUACGGAACGAAAAGGUUUGGGCUAAUAAGCUGAGCUCAUGACGGUACCGUAAGAAUAAGCACCGGCUAACUACGUGCCAGCAGCCGCCGUAA